rnacentral:lncRNA from 1 species
GCUAGCUCAAUGUUAGUUUCAUACAGAAUCACUAAAUGUAUCACGAAAAUGGUCGUAAACAGAUUUUGUUAAUUGCAAACAGUCUCAAUGUAUCAAAAAACGAUUAAAAGAUAGAAUCUAAUAAUGAGUAGAGGAUUUUCCUUCGAAGAAAUCAGUCCAUUUAUUCCAUUCUACAAAUGCCACUCCAUACUUUCCAUAGUUGGGAGUGCUUAUGCUAAGUGAAAAUGGAGGAGAACCACUGACAACUGUGGAGGAAUCUUGACUCAUUAUUGCCAGCUAUGUAACUCUCCUUUUUGUUCUACUUCUCCUUUCUCUUCAUUUUUGUAA